rnacentral:rRNA from 1 species
AUUGAACGCUGGCGGCAGGCCUAACACAUGCAAGUCGAGCGGAUGACGGGAGCUUGCUCCUUGAUUCAGCGGCGGACGGGUGAGUAAUGCCUAGGAAUCUGCCUGGUAGUGGGGGACAACGUUUCGAAAGGAACGCUAAUAUCGCAUACGUCCUACGGGAGAAAGCAGGGGACCUUCGGGCCUUGCGCUAGCAGAUGAGCCUAGGUCGGAUUAGCUAGUUGGUGGGGUAAUGGCUCACCAAGGCGACGAUCCGUAACUGGUCUGAGAGGAUGAUCAGUCACACUGGAACUGAGACACGGUCCAGACUCCUACGGGAGGCAGCAGUGGGGAAUAUUGGACAAUGGGCGAAAGCCUGAUCCAGCCAUGCCGCGUGUGUGAAGAAGGUCUUCGGAUUGUAAAGCACUUUAAGUUGGGAGGAAGGGCAGUAAGCUAAUACCUUGCUGUUUUGACGUUACCGACAGAAUAAGCACCGGCUAACUCUGUGCCAGCCGCCGCCGUAA